ACGUGGCUGGCUCAAUCGGUAGAGCAUGUGACUCUUGAUCUCAGGGUUGUGAGUUCAAGUCCCAUGUUGGGUA
rnacentral:tRNA from 1 species